GCAUGUGAUGACCUUUCUACGGUCUGAGCUCUGCGAUGAUGACUACAGCCAGGGCUGAUU
rnacentral:snoRNA from 1 species